rnacentral:lncRNA from 1 species
UGCGAACAAUAUUUAGUUGCUAGAUUGGCGGAGCUCUGGACGAACAAAAUCAGCGUCUGCAGGCACUGAAAUGUCCACUGAUGGUCUCAACUGGGCACAGACUUCAACUGCUCCAUGCACUGGAUCUGACAUGAAGUUACUAAUGAGAUCCUGGUUGAUAGGAGCACCGUUGUCAACUGCUACCAAGGCUUGCUGGGUGAGAAUGUAGUCAAAGCGUGGAGCCCACUUUCUUGAACCCAGUCGUGCUGUCGUUGAGCAAUUAUCCACCAUGAAGGAAAGUCCACGAGCAUGCAUGAAUGGAUUU